GACGAACGCUGGCGGCGUGCUUAACACAUGCAAGUCGAGCGGAAAGGCCCUUCGGGGUACUCGAGCGGCGAACGGGUGAGUAACACGUGAGUAACCUGCCCCAGACUUUGGGAUAACCCUCGGAAACGGGGGCUAAUACCGGAUACGACACAGCUUCGCAUGGGGUCUGUGUGGAAAGUUUUUCGGUUUGGGAUGGGCUCGCGGCCUAUCAGCUUGUUGGUGGGGUGAUGGCCUACCAAGGCGACGACGGGUAGCCGGCCUGAGAGGGCGACCGGCCACACUGGGACUGAGACACGGCCCAGACUCCUACGGGAGGCAGCAGUGGGGAAUAUUGCACAAUGGGCGGAAGCCUGAUGCAGCGACGCCGCGUGAGAGAUGACGGCCUUCGGGUUGUAAACCUCUUUCAGCAGGGACGAAGCGUAAGUGACGGUACCUGCAGAAGAAGCGCCGGCCAACUACGUG
rnacentral:rRNA from 1 species